AUGACCGCAAACGAGCAUGGCCCUGCGCCGCUCACCACUACCCUCCCCCUCCUCCCCACCCACGGCAUCAUCGUGCGCGCGGCCGCUGGUGGCCAUGGUGCGGACCCCGGGCGCCCUGAACUUGAAGCCGUCCCGGACGAUGCCGCACGCGGCGCAGGAGGAGCCGGCCGCGUCGCGGAGGAAGCGGCGCAGUGGAAGUGGAGCAGCUCGUUGCCGUCGGCGGUGCAGCGGCCGGUGCCCGGGCCGCGCGCCCUGGCCUUAGACGGCGUCGCGAUGGUACGUACAUCACAAAGUGAGGAUGCAGUUGAAGGGAAGGCCAAAGAGGCAUCUGAGUGGUCACUGAUGGCUGGGAUGGUGAGUCUAUGGAGUGAUUGGGAGGUCCAAAUCCUAGUGCUUAUUAGCUUCAUGCUGCAAGUGUUCCUGCUCAUGUUUGCCAGGAUGCGACGUCGGAACAUAUCCAUCGUUCCAAGGACCCUCCUCUGGCUUGCAUACCUGCUGGCGGACGCCAUAGCGAUAUACAUCCUUGGCCACAUGUCCUUCUAUGGCAAGUCCCACGGGCACCAACAACUCAUGGCAUUCUGGGCGCCGUUCUUGCUAGUGCAUCUUGGUGGCCAGGACAACAUCACCGCCUACUCCAUAGAAGACAACCAGCUCUGGCCACGCCACCUGCUCUCUUUUAUUGUGCAGACGGUGGGAGUGGCUUAUGUCCUCUACAAUUAUAUCGCUGGCAGCUGGCCCUUGGUCAUAGCAGCACUGCUGAUAUUUGUCAGUGGUGUUUUCAAGUAUGGGGAGAGAGUAUGGGCGCUUAAGUCCUCCAGCCUAGAGAAUAUGAGUAAAUUCCUUGAUAGCAGGAAGUUGACUGAGGCUAAACAAGGACAAUAUGCACAGUUGGACCAAGGGGGGAAUUUUGAUCCUGAAAGGGACCUCCAGGGGGCUCAUGACCUGCUACCAAUUUGCAUGGCUCAGUUUGUGGACUAUAAGUUCUGGCCAUCCGAAUUCCAGAGUAAAGCAAUAGCGCUAUUCGAUAACAAGGGCCAAAUAUUUGAGUUGGUUGAGAUGCAGCUAUCAUUGAUGUAUGAUUUCCUAUAUACCAAGGCAGCAGUGGUCUUCACAUGGCAUGGAUGCUUCAUCCGUGCCAUUUCAUCAAUUGCCAGCAUCACCACUUUCUUCCUAUUUCAAUCAAGCAUUGGGCAAAAUGACUUCAAUAGAGUUGAUGCCAUUGUCACAUACAUCUUAAUAUCUGGCGCUGUCCUCCUAGAGAUGACAGCAUUGUUGAAGGCAGUGGGAUCAACAUGGACAUGCACAUUGUUGCAUGCGAGAGGAUGGCAUCGGCUUCACAACAUAGUCUUAUCUAUCCGGCGGGGUGUCAAGGCUGCAGAAAGAAAUAGAAGAUGGUCAGGUUCCAUUGGACACCCUGAGUUGCUGAACUUGUCUCAUGGCAGUGGAUGCUGCGCACAGAGCCUGCGAUGCAAAGAUUUGUGGAAGAAGCUACACCACUCCCUACCUGUCAUUUCAGAUGCUACUAAAAAAUUGGUGUUGGAAGAGGUACGGAGAAUGGUGGAGGCAUGCGAAGGAAAAGAGGAUAUGAUGAGGAGUUAUACUGGUCAGUGCGCGCUGAAUCCAUGGCACGGGCUCUUCAAAGAUCCUACCUCGCACACUGGCAUUGAUUUUGAUGACAAAAUCAUUUCCUGGUACUUUGCCACCAAAAUAUUCUUCUCAUGGUCGUCUCGUGUGGAAGAGCAUGGUUAUGUUGAGGCAACCACGACAGUGUCUAACUACAUGAUAUUUCUCCUUACUGAACAUCCCUACAUGCUGCCUAGCCCUGUUCGGCCCGGAUUGUAUGCCAGGAAUAAAGAAGCAUAUGUGGGGCUUGAUUUUUCUGAGAGGGAGCAGAUCAGUAGAAAGUUGGGGCUAAAUAAAAGAAGAAGAAUGUCGGAUCUGGACACAAGAAUGGAUGUGGACAAGCUGCACAAAGCAAGGGGGAAGCUUGACAUAAUAAGGGAGGAUCUGGACAUAAUAAGGGAGAAUCUAGAUGGAAGGAAGGCUCGGCACGAAAGGUCAGAGGAGUUGGACAUAAGUUGGGAGGAGCUGAAGAGGAUAUGGGAGGAGUUGGAUGAUUUAAGAUUAGUGGUCGGCCAUAAAAGGGACAAGCUUGUGGUGUUGGACAAAAGAAGGGAGGAGCUGGACAAAAAAAGGGAGAAGCUGGACAGAGGAAGCGAGGAGCUGUAUUUGGGAUCUCCACCUUCCUUAGGCCUCCCCCCAUGGAGAAGGCUGGAGGAGCUGAACAGAACAAUAAAAGAUCUAGAGCAGCUAGACAGAAGAAGGUCUGAGGUUGACGGUAGAAGGGAGGAGAACCUGGACGUGGACACGGAGGAGCUGAAUAGAACAAUGAAAAAACUGGAGGAGCUAGACAGAAGAAGUGAGGAGCUGCAUUUCAGAUCUCCACCUUCCUUGGUCCGUGGAGCGGAGCUGGCUGUUUGGCUACUAGAGGCAGAGAUGCAGUGCACGCACGAGGUGUGGCGGGUGCUACUUGGGGUGUGGGUGGAGAUGUUGUGCUAUGCUUCCCACCACUGCACUAGGGAUUCCCACGCAAGGCAGCUUAACGGUGGCGGUGAAUUCAUUACCGUUGUCUGGCUUCUGUCCACUGCCAUGUUCAAUCGCCGGUAUUGUGAUGAGGAUUGGUUUAAGAAGGGCGUGCGGGAAUUCUUCCGGUCACAUUCCAUCUCGAGAGAGAGGAGGGACGGAGUUGAUUGCCUUGCCAUGCUCGGCUUCGUACUAUUGCUUCUCUGGUCACUGAUGGCUAGAGUGGUGCACCUAUGGAAUGAUUGGGAGGUCCAAAUCCUAGUGCUUGUUAGCUUCAUGCUGCAAGUUUUCCUGCUCAUGUUCGCCAGGAUGCGACGGAGGAACAUCUCCAUCGUCCCAAGAACCCUCCUCUGGCUAGCAUACUUGCUGGCAGACUCCAUAGCGAUAUACAUCCUCGGCCACAUGUCUUUCUGUGGCAAGCCCCACGGGCGCCAACAGCUCAUGGCAUUCUGGGCGCCAUUCUUGCUGGUGCAUCUCGGUGGCCAGGACAACAUCACUGCCUACUCCAUAGAAGACAGCCAGCUCUGGCCACGUCACCUGCUCUCUUUUGUCGUGCAGACGGUGGGAGUGGCAUAUGUCUUCUACAAGUAUGUCGCUGGUAGCUGGACCUUGGUCACAGCCGCGGCGCUGAUAUUUUGCAGCGGUUUUCUCAAGUAUGGGGAGAGAGUAUGGGCGCUCAAGUCCUCCAGCCUGGACAACAUGAGUAAGUUCCUCGACAGCAGGAAGUUGGCUGAGGCUAAACGAGAACAGCGUGCACAGUGGGGCCAAGGGGAGACGUUGCAUCAUGAAGAGGUUCUUCAGGGAGCUCAUGACCUGCCCCCCAUUUGCAUGGCUCAGUUUGUGGACUAUAAGUUUUGGCCAUCCCCAUUCCAGAGUAAAGCCGUCAAGCUAUUUGAUAGAGGGGGGCAAAUGUUUGAGUUGGUUGAGAUGCAGCUCUCCUUGAUGUAUGAUUUCCUAUAUACCAAGGCCGCGGUGGCCUUCACAUGGCAUGGAUGCUUCAUCCGUGUCAUUUCAUCAGUUGCCAGCAUCACCACUUUGUUCCUAUUUCAAUCAAGCAUUGGCAAAAAUGACUUCAACAGAGUCGAUGCAAUUGUCACAUACAUCUUAAUAGCUGGGGCUGUCCUCCUAGAGAUUACAACAUUGUUGAAGGCAAUGGGGUCAACAUGGACAUGCGCAUCGUUGCAUGCUAGAGGAUGGCAUCGGCUUCACAACAUAGUUGUAUCUUUCCGGCGGCGUGUCAAGGCCGCGGAGAGAAAUAGAAGAUGGUCAGGUUCCAUUGGACAGCCUGAAUUGCUUAACUCGGCCCAGGGCACUGGAGGUUGCGUGGAGUGCAUGGGAUGCAAAGAUUUGUGGAAGAAACUGCACAACUCCUUACCUGUCGUUUCAGAUGGUACUAAGAAGUUGGUGUUGGAAGAGGUACGAAGAAUGGUGGAGGCAUGCGAAGGCAAAGAAGAUAUGAUGAGGAGUUACAGUGGUCAGUGCGCACUGAAUCCAUGGAGCGGAUUCUUCAAGGAUCCCACCUCGCACGUUGGCAUUAAUUUUGAUGACAAAAUCGUUUCCUGGUACUUUGCCACCAAAAUGUUCUUCUCACGGUCGUCUCAUGCGGAAGAGCGAGAUUAUGUUGUGGAGGCAAUCAGGGCAGUAUCUAACUAUAUGAUAUUCCUCCUUGCUGAACGCCCCUACAUGUUGCCUAGCCCUGUUCGCCCCGGAUUGUAUGCCAAUACUGAAGCAGCAUGUGCGGAGCUUGACUUUUUUGACAUGAAACACAUCAGCACAAGGGGGGAGCUGGACAGAAGAAGAAGAAUUUGGGAUCUGGACACAAGAACGGACGGGGACGAGUUGUACAGAGUAAGGGAUAGGCUGGACAUAAUAAGGGAGGAUCUGGACGUAAUAAGGGAGGAUCUGGACAGAAAAAGGGAGGAGCUGGACGGAAGUUGGGACGAGCUGGACAUUGUAAGGUUAAAGGUGGGCAGUAGAAGGGUGAAGCUGGAGGUGCUAGACAGAAGAAGGGAGGAGCUGAAUCAGGAGCUGAACAGAACGAGGUUUGAGGAGAUGAAAAAGCUGGAGGAGCUGCAUUCCAUACCUCCACCUUCCUUAUUCCGUGGAGCGGCGCUUGCUGUUUGGCUGCUAGAGGCGGAGGCGCAGGGCGAGGCAGAGGUGCGGCAGGUGCUACUUGGGGUGUGGGUGGAGAUGCUGUGCUAUGCGGCCCACCACUGCAGUAGGGAUUCCCACGCCAGGCAGCUCAACAGUGGCGGCGAGUUCAUUACCGUCGUCUGGCUUCUGUCCACUGCCAUGUUCAAUCUCCGGUACUGCAACGACACCUGGUUUAAGAGGGGCGUGCGGGAGUUCUCGAGGCAACCAUUCCAUCCUAAGGAGGAGGAGAAGAAGGGUUGGUUCCGCAGGUUACUUAGGGGCUAA
rnacentral:rRNA from 1 species